rnacentral:rRNA from 1 species
AUUGAACGCUGGCGGCAUGCCUUACACAUGCAAGUCGAACGGUAACGGGCCUUCGGGUGCCGACGAGUGGCGAACGGGUGAGUAAUACAUCGGAACGUGCCCGAUCGGGGGGGAUAACGAGGCGAAAGCUUUGCUAAUACCGCAUACGAUCUACGGAUGAAAGCAGGGGACCGCAAGGCCUUGCGCGGACGGAGCGGCCGAUGGCAGAUUAGGUAGUUGGUGGGAUAAAAGCUUACCAAGCCGACGAUCUGUAGCUGGCCUGAGAGGAUGAUCAGCCACACUGGGACUGAGACACGGCCCAGACUCCUACGGGAGGCAGCAGUGGGGAAUUUUGGACAAUGGGCGCAAGCCUGAUCCAGCCAUGCCGCGUGCAGGAUGAAGGCCUUCGGGUUGUAAACUGCUUUUGUACGGAACGAAAAGCCUUCUUUUAAUACAGGAGGGUCAUGACGGUACCGGAAGAAUAAGCACCGGCUAACUACGUG